CAUUAAUUCACUAUUUUAGGGGACUGAAAAUAUAUCUAAUCCAAACAUUUUUGUUUUAUUAGACGGUAGUAACUUUCCUUUCUCCGAAGUCUCGCCGCUUCUGUGGCUUGUGGAGAUUAUGAUGGAUGCGUGGUGAGCUUGGAAUCAUCAGGGACUUUUGGAGGAACAAGUUGGAAUUGGAAGAAGAAGCAACAGCUAAAAGUCCCUAUUCCCUAACCAGAAACAAUUCAAACUAAGAACAGAGUGGCAAUGCUACUGUAGCAAAGGUGAAAGUUUAAAGAAUAAGAAUUUAUGAAGAAAGUACAAGAGGUAACUCACAGAAGAAGAGAGGCUGAGGUGAGGCCAUAUUUCUCACCUUGGUUUUUAUGCUUUGAGCCUUUGUGUGGUGUAUAUGAUUAUAUGACUGUGAUACAAUGUAAAAGAUAAGUUCUCACUCAAUCCUUGUCUCCUGCUUGCACUUGCUAAUUAAUAGAUAUAAUGGUUACUUGGUCUGA